GCGGAUAUGGCGGAACUGGCAGACGCGCUAGACUUAGGAUCUAGUGGGCAACCGUGCAGGUUCGAUUCCUGUUAUCCGCA
rnacentral:tRNA from 1 species